rnacentral:rRNA from 1 species
UGGGGAAUUUUGGACAAUGGGGGCAACCCUGAUCCAGCCAUCCCGCGUGUGCGAUGAAGGCCUUCGGGUUGUAAAGCACUUUUGGCAGGGAAGAAACAGCCUGGGCUAAUAUCCCGGGCGACUGACGGUACCUGCAGAAUAAGCACCGGCUAACUACGUGCCAGCAGCCGCGGUAAUACGUAGGGUGCAAGCGUUAUCCGGAUUUAUUGGGUUUAAAGGGUGCGUAGGCGGCCUGUUAAGUCAGUGGUGAAAGUCGGCAGCUCAACUGUCGAAUUGCCUUUGAUACAGGCAGGCUUGAAUGAAGUUGAAGAGGGCGGAAUGUGACAUGUAGCGGUGAAAUGCAUAGAUAUGUCACAGAACACCGAUUGCGAAGGCAGCUCUCUAAGCUUGAAUUGACGCUGAUGCACGAAAGCGU